rnacentral:rRNA from 1 species
ACAUUUGGAAACAAGUGCUAAUACCGUAUAAUACCAACAACCGCAUGGUUGUUGGUUGAAAGAUGGUUCUGCUAUCAMUAAGAGAUGGACCCGCGGUGCAUUAGCUAGUUGGUAAGGUAACGGCUUACCAAGGCAAUGAUGCAUAGCCGAGUUGAGAGACUGAUCGGCCACAAUGGGACUGAGACACGGCCCAUACUCCUACGGGAGGCAGCAGUAGGGAAUCUUCCACAAUGGGCGCAAGCCUGAUGGAGCAACGCCGCGUGUGUGAUGAAGGGUUUCGGCUCGUAAAACACUGUUAUAAGAGAAGAACGGCACUGAGAGUAACUGUUCAGUGUGUGACGGUAUCUUACCAGAAAGGAACGGCUAAAUACGUGCCAGCAGCCGCGGUAAUACGUAUGUUCCAAGCGUUAUCCGGAUUUAUUGGGCGUAAAGCGAGCGCAGACGGUUAUUUAAGUCUGAAGUGAAAGCCCUCAGCUCAACUGAGGAAUGGCUUUGGAAACUGGAUGACUUGAGUGCAGUAGAGGAAAGUGGAACUCCAUGUGUAGCGGUGAAAUGCGUAGAUAUAUGGAAGAACACCAGUGGCGAAGGCGGCUUUCUGGACUGUAACUGACGUGAAGCUCGAAA